ACACGGUCUGAAAAGAGAGCUCUUUAUUUUCUUAAAGGGUUUCAGAGACACCUAAGAAAAAGCUGCUUCUUUUGACUUCUAAGACUUUCUGGGAAAGGAUGCAAGUAACCGUUACAUGAGGAGAGUGGUGUCCUCGAUUGAGAAGAAGAAAAGAAACUUUCUGGAUUCCCUGCAAAAAGUAGUUGAUUUAUUCUUAAUAUUGCCUUUGAUUUUCACCUUACUUUCUGAUACUUACCAUCAUUUUACGUUGUGAUCUUCUCAAGAAAGCACUGUUGGAUUUAGUUAUGUACUGGACAGGUGAAGGAACUAAGACUGUAAAGUGCUAAAGAAAUAAAUUAAAAAGACACA